rnacentral:tRNA from 1 species
GCCUGGGUGGCUCAGUGAGUUAGCAUCUGACUUCGGCAUCUGACGAAGCAUCUGACUUCGGCUCAGGUCAUGAUCUAGCAGUUCAUGGGUUCGAGCCCCACCUCGGGCC